AUUGAACGCUGGCGGCAGGCCUAACACAUGCAAGUCGAGCGCGCGGCGGACGGGUGUGCAGUGUAUGGGGAUCCGCGCGAUAGAGGGGGAUCACUACUGGAAACGGUGUCUAACAGCGUACUCUCUCGGAUGACCCUAUAUGGGAUUAGCUAGUAGGUGGGGUAAAGGCUCCUCUAGGCGACGAUCUCUCGCUGGUCUGAGAGGAUGAACAGCCACACUGGGACUGAGACACGGCCCAGACUCCUACGGGAGGCAGCAGGGGGGAAUAUUGCACAAUGGGCGCAAGCCUGAUGCAGCCAUGCCGCGUGUAUGAAGAAGGCCUUAGGGUUGUAAAGUACUUUCAGCGGGGAGGCGUUACCCGCAGAAGAAGCACCGGCUAACUCCGUGCCAGCAGCCGCGGUAAUUC
rnacentral:rRNA from 1 species